rnacentral:rRNA from 1 species
UAAGGAAUAUUGGACAAUGGUCGCAAGACUGAUCCAGCCAUGCCGCGUGCAGGAAGACGGCCCUAUGGGUUGUAAACUUCUUUUAUCUGGGACGAAAACGGGAUUUUUAUCUCAAUUGACGGUACCAGAGGAAUAAGCACCGGCUAACUCCGUGCCAGCAGCCGCGGUAAUACGGAGGGUGCGAGCGUUAUCCGGAUUUACUGGGUUUAAAGGGUGCGUAGGUGGGCUUAUAAGUCAGUGGUGAAAUCUCCGAGCUUAACUUGGAAACUGCCGUUGAUACUAUAGGUCUUGAAUUAUCUGGAGGUAAGCGGAAUAUGUCAUGUAGCGGUGAAAUGCUUAGAUAUGACAUAGAACACCAAUUGCGAAGGCAGCUUACUACAUAUAAAUUGACGCUGAGGCACGAAAGCGUGGGGAUCAAACA